AAAGAAUUCACAUUACCAAACAAAACAGCUAUCAUGCAUGAAAGAAGCCAAAAGAAAAGUACAGCACCAUCAAAAGUUGCCAGAUAUUUAGUUUUCCAUACAACCAUGCAAAUAUGGAAGCCUUAACUUCAAUAAUCAAUGUGCAUGAUUCAUGUGCCGGGCAGGGGUGCAUCCGCAUCCUCAUCCGCCAUUGAUAGCGCGCUUGUCAU
rnacentral:misc_RNA from 1 species